UCUUUUACUUCCUGCCAAGGUAUAAAUGUAUUAGUAACUUUGUAAGUAUCCCGCGUAUCUGUUAAGCUCUUAACGUAGACAUGUUUUUCUUUCUUCAUCAGAUUUUAUUUUUUAUGGCGACUACAGUGUGUUCGUUGCACAGUACACUUAUGUUUUAUUUAUUGUAAUGAGAAAUUAAUCCCCAAGACUUCUCUUCCCUUGCAUCAUUUAAGCAUUUAAUCAUAAACUUUUUCCACAAACUCACAUAUACUUAGAACUUGGGGAGGGC
rnacentral:lncRNA from 1 species